GGGGUCGACUGGAAUUGACAGGAAGUGUAAACUGUACGCCAGCAUGUCGGGUGCUGAUCAUACAUCCGUAAUCAAAUUGAUCAAACUAUAAUUGGCGAAUCUAAUUACGCCAUGGCAGCCUAAUUUUAGAUCUAAGAUCUGAAAUUGUUAAUCCCGACCAAGUUGGGACUGCCACAUCUCACCGAGCUUCUGCCCUUUAAGCUUGGACCAUGAGGUGUCGAAAUUUAGGGAUAGCCUUGGGUAGUGUCACGGACACUGGGUGAAAUUAAGUGACUGGUCUCUUAGGUAGGGUGUCUUUCCCCGGCCUGAUAGACAAGAACCAAUGAUAGACUAAACAUGUAGCGGGCUUAUUGUUUCCUUAGCUGGACGAGAGUUCGAAUCUCUCCGACUCCACAA
rnacentral:tmRNA from 1 species